GCUUUUGUAACCUUUUAGUCAUCUGGCUUCAAGUUCCACCGGGGAUUUUGCUGGCUGUGAGGACGGCAGCGGAGCCCUGAAGCUACAAGGUGCCUUAGUCAUGUUUGCAUUGUGGACUGCAGUGAACAAAGUAUUUUUAAAUGGGCAUUUGGAGAAACUUGCAAGGUUUCUCAUUGCAUGUUCAGAGAACCACAUUCCGUUGUUGGUGUCAGAAGCUGAAACUGUAUGGCAGUAACUGGCCAUUCUUUCCUUCAGUUGGCCCCUCGUGGCCUUUGAGCUUGAGCACGGGCAUUAAGACUUAGAAGACUGGAGCCUGACUGACUGUGGAGCCCUGCAUCCGACCUUUCCUUUAACAGGACCUUAAUCACAGCUUUGGAAGCUUAUCGAAAAGCCAAACCUCAUGAGGGUCUGGAGUCCCUUCCUUCCCCUUAUCUCAACCCUUAUGGAAUCCUCUCCACUGAGCUACUGAUAGUUAUCCAACAAAUAUUUACAUCAAGAUUCACUCUGCCUCGUAAGAGCUCACAGUGUGGCCAGGAGAGAUGGCUCAGUGGUUAAGAGGUCCUGAGUUCAAUUCCCAGCAACCGCAUGGUGGCUCACGGCCAUCUGUAAUGGGAUCCGAUGCCCUCUUCUGGCGUGCCAUCGAGAGUUCACAGUGUAGCUAUAAAGACAAGACGUUGAAGGGUAAUUGUUCCUGAUGACUCAGCUGUAUCACCUGUGAGGAUAUUACCUCCAAAGAACAGAAGGAUGGACAUGCGUAUUUGUAAACUGAUGUUCAGAACAAAAUUGUUCAUAGUAGCAAAAGGUGGAAAUGACCCUAAUGCUUGAAGAAAGAUGAUUAGGCAAAUCAUAUUAUGCACAUGCAAUAGAAUAUUAUUCAGCCUCCAGAAGAAGCGACAUUCUGACUCUUGCUACAAUACAGAAGCUUCGUUGUAUAGACUAUCCUCUGGCAUCAUCAGAAUUUGCUCUGUUCCCAAAAGAUCACCCCAGCUAGGCUUGAUGCCUGGGGAGAAUCAUGGGAUUCUCACAUGAGUAUCCAUUCAUCUCUUGCAAUCAGUCAUAUGUAAGUCUGCCCUAAUUGCACAUGGCCUUGAGGUCUCAGGAAGUGGGUAGAGUAUAUAGGUGAGGAAGGAGUAGGGGAAGGUACUUCAGCCUUGGGGAUGUUUCAUCCAUGCUGGGUGGGUCACCCACACUCCUGUCCACAACCCCUCACCCAUGCUCUGUAAAUAACCCUAAUAAACUCAUUGCUUCCUCAAGGU